rnacentral:rRNA from 1 species
UAAGCAUAUCAAUAAGCGGAGGAAAAGAAACCAACAGGGAUUGCCCUAGUAACGGCGAGUGAAGCGGCAACAGCUCAAAUUUGAAAUCUGGCUCUUUUAGAGUCCGAGUUGUAAUUUGCAGAGGGCGCUUUGGCUUUGGCAGCGGUCCAAGUUCCUUGGAACAGGACGUCACAGAGGGUGAGAAUCCCGUACGUGGUCGCUGGCUAUUGCCGUGUAAAGCCCCUUCGACGAGUCGAGUUGUUUGGGAAUGCAGCUCUAAAUGGGAGGUACAUUUCUUCUAAAGCUAAAUAUUGGCCAGAGACCGAUAGCGCACAAGUAGAGUGAUCGAAAGAUGAAAAGCACUUUGGAAAGAGAGUCAAACAGCACGUGAAAUUGUUGAAAGGGAAGCGCUUGCAGCCAGACUUGCUUACAGUUGCUCAUCCGGGUUUCUACCCGGUGCACUCUUCUGUAGGCAGGCCAGCAUCAGUUUGGGCGGUAGGAUAAAGGUCUCUGUCACGUACCUCCUUUCGGGGAGGCCUUAUAGGGGAGACGACAUACUACCAGCCUGGACUGAGGUCCGCGCAUCUGCUAGGAUGCUGGCGUAAUGGCUGUAAGCGGCCCGUCU